CUUUAGAACGGUUUUUUUCUACUCGUAUCGAAAUUUUAUAACACUUCAAUAAUGUUUACAUACAGUUUGAAGUUCAAUCGAAAGGCCAAUGCUCAAGUUAAUUCAAUUUGCACCACGGACCCAAACUAUUGCGUAACGAGGUCCCAUGCAGCUAUAAACUUUGGAAGCCGAGAUAAGUGUUGAGGAGGUUUGUGUUUACCUGACUGUGAGUAAAGUCAGUGCCACAACUUACAUUUUUUUGAUUUCCUUUCUUGCUUCCACCUAGUUUCCAGGAAUCACAGGCAAAAUACUCUGAACCCCAUGAAGGAUAAGAUAAAUGUUGAAUAAAUACAGUUACUGCAGGUUUUAUGAUAAAACAAUUAGUAUUUAAUGGAUAAAAUAAAAUGUAUUUUAGGCUAUGACUUCACUUUGUGUAACAGUAAACUCAACAUUAUUCCUUGCUUUGUUGUGUCGGCUGUUUUUAAUUAUUUUGAUUAAUACAAUAAAUCAUUGAAACUUA